GGGUUUUGGGCAUUAUGAGAGGUCAUGCAAGAGCCACAAAGCUUGGGUUGUCAAUCCCCUUUAUCCUCCCUUUUGAUCGCUUCUUGACGAUCCCAUGACCAUGUUGGGCACCUCACAUGGCUGACCCUGGCAUUUGCUACAUAAACUUCGGUUAGUAAGUUUUGGUGUUUCUAUAUUUCCUUUUUGAUUCGGUUUUCGACUUAUACUAAAAGAGUAUCCCGUGUCCGUUUCACCAAGGAUAUGGAUGCCUUCCACCCGAGGCAUACCACCCUAUUAAAUAGUCAGGCUUCUGCCCCCAUUUUAUGCACCCUGGUGAUGUGCUACUAAUAACCAAAUGGACAAGCCCCACGGGAGAGACUCAUUGGUGUGGGUAAGAAAAAUAGGUUUUGUAGAUUAUUGGGCAUUGCCUAUUUGC
rnacentral:lncRNA from 1 species